CAAUAGCGUAUAUUAAAGCUGUUGCGGUUAAAAAGCUCGUAGUUGGAUUUCUGUCAAGUACAACUGGUCCGCCCUCCGGGUGAGCACAUAGUUUGGUCUUGGCAUCUUGCUGGAAAUUGUUGCUGCACUUGGCUGUGUGGCGCAGUGUCCAGCACUUUCACUUUGAGGAAAUUGGAGUGUUUCAAGCAGGCAAUGCCUUUGAACACAGUAGCAUGGAAUAAUUAGAUUGGGCUUUUGCUCCAAUUUGUCGGUUUCUGGAGCUGAGGUGAGAAUUAAUGGGGAUUGUUGGGGGCAUCCGAAUUUAGCCGUCAGAGGUGAAAUUCUUGGAUCUGCUAAAGACGGACAACUGCGAAAGCGUUUGCCCAGGAUGUUUUCAUUGA
rnacentral:rRNA from 1 species